CACGGGUGAAGAGGUGUCUCGGCC
rnacentral:siRNA from 1 species